rnacentral:lncRNA from 1 species
GGGGGAAAAAAGCAAAGAGCAAGCCACAAUGGAAGACUCGCCUAUCUAUUCAUUCUACCAGCAUGAAGCGGCAGCUGGAGAUACCCCCAGCCUUUAUAAUUCAUGUAUCCAUGGACACAGAGAAUCAAAUUAACUCCACAGACUAUCCAAGUCAAUCAACACUGAUCUAACUAAAACUCACCAUUGCUGCAUCAUAAACAUAGAGCUCCUCGCCUGUUGGGAUGUGAAUAGUCUUUGGAGCCUGUUUGUUUAGGAACUUAUUCAGAAGUCUAAUAUUUGCAAAGGUACCCCUUGCCAUCACUUCAUCAUUGCCACGACGACUACCAUAAGAAUUGAAAUCUCUACGGUCAACCCCACGCUCCAUCAAGUACUUCGCGGCUGGACUAUCCUUAUGGAUGCUCCCUGCUGGAGAAAUAUGAUCAGUAGUGAUACUGUCACCAAAUUUCAGCAAGCAAUACGCAUCAUUGACUCCAUGGGGACCAGGUGGAUCCAUGGUCAUGUCCUUGAAAUAUGGAGGUUGAUGGAUAUAUGUUGAGUUGGGAUCCCAUUCAUAAAGCUUUGAUGAAGGAACAGACAGUUGAUUCCAGAAGGCAUUGCCUUCUGUAAUAGCUUCAUAAGUGCUCUUAAACAUUUCUGGGAGCACGCUAGACUGCACCACCUGUGAUCUCAGCAAACAAAGU